rnacentral:ncRNA from 1 species
ACAUUGAGAUACGGGUGCCGAAUGUUUUUCGGCUGAGAUAGGGCAAAUUGAUGUUCUGACCGAACCUGAUAUGGGUAAUGCCAACGUAGGGAAAUAUGCUCGGUUUUAUG